rnacentral:misc_RNA from 1 species
AAGUCGUAACAAGGUUUCCGUAGGUGAACCUGCGGAAGGAUCAUUAGAGAACCUGGGCCUGCGCUACUUGCGCGGCUCCAACCAAUACACAGUGUGUUAUACUUCUCUUGCUUUGGCUCUGCCAAAGGUUUUAAACACAGAAAUUUAUUUUCUCUAGAAACUAGUCAAUUUGAAUUUUAAUCUUCAAAACUUUCAACAACGGAUCUCUUGGUUCUC